rnacentral:lncRNA from 7 species
ACAGUUACUCAUAAGAAAACAGCAUUCAAAUUGGCCUUCAGAGGAAAUGGGGGCAAGAAAGUUUCUGUAAACACCGAAAGAAAAGCCAAAGCAAUGACAAAGUGAUUGUAAUCCACUCUUCCCGUGCUGCUAUAGCAUAUAGUUGCUUCGUGCCCAAAUAACGUCCUGAGGCAAAACACUAUGAUUCUGCUGUGAGUAGUGGCAAGCUUUGCUUUGUUGAAGCCUCCUGCAAACCCACAUUGUUUGAAGUCAUUACACACAGAGGAGCUGAAGCCUGGUGUUGUGCUCCAGCAACUGAGUGAGCAACAUGAUGCUGCAGGAAUGAGAUGGAGAGAAGGAGAUGCUGAUGACAGUACAGCUCCAGCCUAUGGUGAGAAGUCAAAGCAUCAUGAGAAACACCGAGACAAGAGGCUCAACUCCAUAGCAUGACACAGCACAGAGUUUCCUCUGCUAUUGCUACAUUACCGCAAGGAGCAGAAGAAAUACAUUACCCUUUGCUGAAGGAGUUCUUCAGCAACUUGCUCUUGUUUUGAUUGGCGCCGAACCUGAGAGGACUGGGAAUUUGGAAGCUCAAGAGAAUUUGCUUCUUAAACAUUACUGACACAGUCAAUACAGCCUUCCAAGUCCUAUAACAAGCUCUCCUUCCCACGUCAUGUUUUCGCAAACAUUUAGCUAUCUGAAGACCCUACUUGGAUCUCUGCAAAUGUUUAUCACGCUGCUACGUCACUGCUCUGUGCUGCUGCCCAAGUGCUUGCCUAAUGUCUGGUUUCUGGGAGAGUGUGGUUGUUUAUAAAGGCUUUAAGUGAUGCGUGUACUGAUGAGACACAUCACAUCCAGCACACUAUGUCCAAAGCAUUACUAUUAAAAAUAGCCUGGACUGCAUCACAGCAUUUGUUCUGAUCUAGAGAAUUCAUGCGCUCUCUGGUGCCACUAAUAAAUAAUUGACUGUU